rnacentral:rRNA from 1 species
CAAGACCUUGCGCUUUUGGAGCGGCCGAUGUCUGAUUAGCUAGUUGGUGGGGUAAUGGCUUACCAAGGCUUCGAUCAGUAGCUGGUCUGAGAGGACGACCAGCCACACUGGGACUGAGACACGGCCCAGACUCCUACGGGAGGCAGCAGUGGGGAAUUUUGGACAAUGGGGGAAACCCUGAUCCAGCCAUGCCGCGUGAGUGAAGAAGGCCUUCGGGUUGUAAAGCUCUUUCGGCCGGAACGAAAUGGUCAUGGUUAACACCCGUGACAAAUGACGGUACCGGAAGAAGAAGCACCGGCUAACUACGUGCCAGCAGCCGCGGUAAUACGUAGGGUGCAAGCGUUAAUCGGAAUUACUGGGCGUAAAGCGUGCGCAGGCGGUUUUGUAAGUCAGAUGUGAAAUCCCCGGGCUUAACCUGGGAACUGCGUUUGAAACUACAAGG